rnacentral:lncRNA from 1 species
AAUCCUAACAUCAGCAAAGACCAUAAGAUCUCUUCUACACAAGUACAACCACAAGAGAAUGAUACUAACUUACUUGAAUGGCACAACAAAGUGUGAGUGGGUCCAUAACCUAUUGAAGAAAUACAACAAGCAAGAUACAAGUAAGUAAAAAUCAGCAAGGUUGCACACAAGAGAAGUGGGGAAUGAGAUACUUCUCACUUCCAACUUCCU